CAGGAAGUAAUUUAUUAAAAUAACAACUUUGGGAGUUGUCAAUCAGAGACUCUCUGCUACCUGA
rnacentral:tRNA from 1 species